rnacentral:rRNA from 1 species
CCCUUAGAUGUUCUGGACCGCACGCGCGCUACACUGAUGCAUUCAACGAGUGUACCUUGGCCGAGAGGCCUGGGCAAUCUUUUGAACGUGCAUCGUGAUAGGGAUAGAUUAUUGCAAUUAUUAAUCUUGAACGAGGAAUUCCUAGUAAACGCAGAUCAUCAAUCUGCAUUGAUUACGUCCCUGCCCUUUGUACACACCGCCCGUCGCACCUACCGAUUGGAUGGUCCGGUGAAGCCUCGGGAUUGUGGCGGUUGCCUUUAUUGGUGGCCGCCGCGAGAACUUGUCUAAACCUUAUCAUCUAGAGGAAGGUGAAGUCGUAACA